rnacentral:rRNA from 1 species
ACAGAGGUCUCAAGCGUUGUUCGGAAUCACUGGGCGUAAAGGGUGCGUAGGUGGCGUGGUAAGUCAGAUGUGAAAGCCCGGGGCUCAACCUCGGAAUUGCAUCCGAUACUGCCGUGCUAGAGUACUGAAGAGGUGACUAGAAUUCUCGGUGUAGCAGUGAAAUGCGUAGAUAUCGAGAGGAAUACCAACGGCGAAGGCAGGUCACUGGGCAGUUACUGACACUGAGGCACGAAGGCCAGGGGAGCAAACGGG